UAGGGAAUCUUCGGCAAUGGACGAAAGUCUGACCGAGCAACGCCGUGCGAGUGAAGAAGGUUUUCGGAUCGUAAAACUCUGUUGUUAGAGAAGAACAAGGACGUCAGUAACUGAACGUCCCCUGACGGUAUCUAACCAGAAAGCCACGGCUAACUACGUGCCAGCAGCCGCGGUAAUACGUAGGUGGCAAGCGUUGUCCGGAUUUAUUGGGCGUAAAGCGAGCGCAGGCGGUUUCUUAAGUCUGAUGUGAAAGCCCCCGGCUCAACCGGGGAGGGUCAUUGGAAACUGGGAGACUUGAGUGCAGAGGAGGGGAGUGGAAUUCCAUGUGUGGCGGUGAAAUGCGUAGAUAUAUGGAGGAACACCAGUAGCGAAGGCGGCUCUCUGGUCUGUAACUGACGCUGAGGCUCGAAAGCGUGGGGAGCAAACAGG
rnacentral:rRNA from 1 species